rnacentral:rRNA from 1 species
CUUUUCUUUUAAUUUUUUUGGGUCGGUGAGCGGGAGGGUUUAGGAGAGCUGGAGGUCGCACGGUCGUGGAGGGCGGGGCGGGGUCGCGCGGCGGUGGAGGGUGAGGCGGGGUAGAAUAGCUACGCAAGCCCGUCCCGCGGCGGCGGCGGCGGUCGGUGAGCGGGAGGGUUAGGGUAGAGCUUGAGGUGGCGCGGAGGUGAGGGCGGGGCGCGGUAGAAUGGCUACGCAAGCUCGUCCCGCGGCAGCGGCGCGCACCGGCGCGCCGGUCAAAAGAAGAAACAGAUAGGCAAGACCCCCGCGAGCUGUAGCGGCACGGCGGCUAGACGGCCGAAGCGGCCUUGAGGCAAACAGUCGUAGAAGAGGUGGGGAACCACUACUCGCCGACUCGGUUCCUCGCCUCAGUCCGCGGCGGCGCGCAUGUACGGCGCAAGCACGCUCUCACCCCUGCCAGACUGUCCCCUACGUCUGAACCAACCCCUUGUUCUCGUGCGCUUCGAUCCUCGUCCCCGGCUAGCUACCCGUCGCGCUCCUGGAGGAUGACCAAGAUGUACAAGGAGAGAGACGGAUAGGUAAUGUUCGUAUCUCCACUUGAGUACCAACAUAACUAUCCACUAAAUUUCACGUCCCAACACUCCUUUAGUCAUAUUUUAGAAACAACAGCCUCAAGGGAACCUUGACGCGUCUUCUACCCCACUACCUAAGUCACAGUUCUAAGUUACUUCUAGGUAGACAAGCACCGGACGAACAAGUGGGUGAUGAUGGUGUUCGUUACAUAAAAUCCCAUACAAACCAAGAACGGAUAUCGACGGGACGGUUAUAACCGAACGGUUAAUAAACCUCACCCUAAGGUUGCGGGUCCCAACCGGUUUCUAAACCGUUCUUAGACACUUCCUUCGUUGUUACCUGAAACAACCGUCGGUUUAUAAACCGUUGUUUGGUUUGUUGUGUAUUCCUUAAACCGUACUGGUUAUAAAACCAUCCCAUUCAACCUCCGCAUUUGGUUUGUCCGGGAAUGAAAAGACCUACGUCGGGAUCUUUCCUUAAUACAAACCAAAUCAAGUAUCUUUCUAUAUAGUGUUUUAGGAAAAACAAAUGUAUGAUUGACUUAUUAUGCUUCAUAAAAUCAAGAGUACCAUUAUCUGUUCGUUGAAGUCAUCAUAAACUAAACUCAAAAACAAAAAUUCAUAUACAAACCAGUUCUAAGUUGAAAGAAAUACAGGUACAAAACGACCAUAUUACGUAGUAGUUCGAAACAAAAUAUACUACUGUAACACAUUUAGUCGUAUACCUACUCCUUUCAUAAGACUCGCGUCUACGAGCGGCGGCGGCGACGAAGACUGUUGCACACUCGGCGGAUUAGCUCGCUCCUAAGCGGCGAGUAGGAUUCUCCUGAGCGGCGAGAAGGUACUGCGGCGGCGACGUUGCGCCGCAACAAGGUCGUGGUUUAGCGUCUACGUAGAAACGUUUAGGUUGUUUCACCACCCUUAUAGAUGUUGUACUUCAAAGAGUUCGACUAUCCCGUAAGAAGACGUACAAACACUGUACUAGUACCACGUGUAUAUAAAUUAUCACUUCCAGAAGCCGAUAGUGAUACUUACCAAGACGACAACACAUUCACUAAAGAAUUCACAACACAACAUUGUGUAAUCUCAUUUUCUAAUUAACACAUACUUCUUAUUAUAAUGCCUCAGUCCGUGUUAAACUGGAAUCAAGACUGGUUUAAUUAGAAAUAAACAAACGAUCCAACACACAGUUUGUAGUGAAGUACAACAUCACGUAAAAAAGGAAAGUUUUAGGUGUAAUACGUUAAACCGAAAUAUUCUUCAAAGUGAAAUAAUAAUCACCUCUUGCCCUCUAUGCCUUUCCCUUCCCUUUUUGUCAUUAAGAUCGUUGAUCGGUAACAAGGCACCGUUUUGUGUCCACAAACAAGAUAAUACAAGUAGCCUUCAGAAAUGCCUCCUCAACCCAGACCCACUCACUGUAUAUAAACGAACUCCAGUGCUUAAGAAAAGACGACAAUGAACGUAGAAUGAACUAAAAAAAAAGAAAUUCAAGAAGUACAAAAGGGUAUAGCAGACGAGAUAUCUUCGACGAUGGAGUUUAAUUCAUUCACGUAGGAAGAAAAAACAGGUUCAAACAAGAUAAGAUAAUGAGUCUUCAGACAUGUUCUGACUCUCUGACUUCGUAUAAACGAACUCUCAACUUAAUAAAAACCUACAGUCCAAACAUGCGAUAUGACAAACUAAUUACUUUUGACUAUUUUCAUCACCGUUUGUGAACUAACUCAUUCGAUGACCUAAAAUGGUCAUUAUGUGUCAUCAAAGAACGUUAUAAUAGACGUACUGUUCUUUGUAGGUAUAAACUAAAACGAGACACUAACCAAGUUUAUAGUGAAAAACCCGAUUUCGACUAACCUAUGCUCAUCAUCACAGUUGUCAUUAUUGAACUUUGUACUAAAAUAGUACCGAGAUUUAAAAUAAUGACUACUAAAGAAAGUCCUAUAAACAUCUCCGAUAAGCGUGGCAUCAAGUUCCGUCUACUAUCUCAUGUCCGAUCCGUUGAGUGAAUAUAACCAUGAGCAAAUUUACCAAUAGAUAAGACGGCCGUAUCAAUGUACGGUAUAAUUAAAGUCUUCUUGUUAAAGAUUAAAUCACAACACGAACGUAAGUAACAAUACAGAUUUUUCUUUUAAGGUUUGUUUUUGUUUAUAUUUCAGUGUCAAACAGAAAUGUGUGACCUAUUACUUACAAAGUUAGCGCGAUUUAACUUGGUUCCGAAAAUCUUAUUUAACACCGGAUAUUCGAACACACAUCAGUUAAUGAUUUACACAUUAUAAUCGUGUAUAAUCGUGCUGAUAAAGAAUUCACGUCGGUCGGUGGUUAAAGUAAACUAAACUUAAUUAUAUAAUGAAUAUAUGAGUAAAUCUAUAAAUAAAUACAGGAGCUACCUAACUAAACUUGCGGCGUUAAAAUAAUGGGGUAACGUUGCGUGCCCGGGAAAACGAUCAUUAUUAUUUCGUACCUAACUGAAAUAGCCCAAGUGGCAAUGUUAUGCGAAAGAAGAGUACAGUAUUAUGCAAAAAUAUUAAACAUAACUGUUUUAGCAUUAUAUUUACUCCACCAUGAUUAUUGUACAAGCAUGCACCGGUCCGGCUCGGUUUAGGGGGAUCGGCGGCGGCGUGGUGAGGGCCUGCGCCGGCUGGAGUUGAGCGGGCGGCGGCGCCGACGUGGAGACGGGCGAGUGCUCGGAGGUGGGCGCGCGAGUCGAGACCCUGUGGGCGCUGCGUGGCGCGCGCGGGAGGCGACGGUUUGACGCGGCCGACGCGGCUGGCGGCGCGCGGCAGCCUACCGCCGCCACCUGGGAGAGAGUACCUCCUAAUGUGGCCGACGGGGCGCGAUCGGCUCUAGUAGGCGUAGGAGAGGCACUUCGCGGUAGCAGCGCCCUCCUGAAGCAACGGACCGAGCGGCUGUUGAAGUACUGCUCCGGGCGCAGGCGAAGAAGGGCACGCUGGAGGAGCUGCCACGGCGGUACGAGCGGCGGCCCGCGCCGACGAUGCCGUAGAAGGUGGAGCGGAGCGGGACGUGGCAGCUGGCGCAGGACCUGGGGGUUCAUGACGACGAGGCACUGGCAGGACGGCAAUAAGGAAGUCUCAAAUCUGGAGAGUCAUGCCCCACCGCAGACAGAGUAAAACACCAACGUCUUCCUCGCCCAUCGCGGCCGGCACCUUCCCUGCGAGGUACACGGAAGGAACCUCGGCCGCGGCUGGCCGGACACGGGGGAGGGGCGACGUGUUUUAAACGAAGAAACAGGGGUGAAACGACGUUUUUGAGACACGGAGACGAUGCCGGUAAGAAGCGAGGUACCGGAAGGUACUUAGAGUUGGGACCGUUGACCUCAUACAAUGGAAUUAAUGAACGACAUGUUGACGUCAUAAAGAUUUUGUUAAAGGUACCGAUCGUGAGUCCAACUUAAUGAUCGACUCAAAACGUAUAUACGUUAGUGAAAACGGACAAAAACCGGAAAGUGGGAAGUGAAAACUUCGUUACUUUAGAAAUUAGGACUUCUAUUAGAAGUCGCAAGUACAAGUUCACAAUAUUUGAGUCUAAAGUCACAAUUACACGUUUACAAGUAAUUGUGAUAAACUUUAGACUCUUGAUCUUUACGACUUUGGACUUUUGACCUUAGAGGUCAAUUGACUUAAAAACUUGUAAAUUAGAACAGAUUGAUAAACACUCCAAAUAACCACAAAGGUCAUCUAUUUUGGAUUGGGAUACAUAAAUAUUUACCUCGUCUUGACAUAAAUAUUUUGAAGUCUCUUAUAUAACAACAGAAGGAGCAUAAGAAAAUAAUGACCUCGGUGGUAUGUUUUGAGAGACCUCGUCUUGACAUAAAGUUGAUAUUUACUGUCCUUGUCUUGAAAAUAUAUAAACAACACUCAUGUUGAACUCUCUCAAAGUCUCUUUAUUUUCUUUCGUUGAUUUUGAAGUCUCUUAUAUAACAACAAAUAUAUUUGACUUAUAAUACAUGACAGUUAUAAGUCUUCGUGUCUUAUAUAACAACAAAUCUAUUUGUGUCGACGAACGACCAUAGAGGUGAAAAGUCGACCCGAAACGUCAAUAGAGUCAAAGAUAGAAAACAACCGGUCUACUAAGGCGGUUCCUAGUUACGAUCGUACCGGUACAAAGAAGUGAACUUCCCACCUGGUAUCACCGAAGUGACGACCGCCUUGCCGUCUCCCGAACCGACGAUGGUCCCACUAAGUUUCCCUCAUAUAUCCAUCUCAAAAACGUCGGAGAACGUGUUUGUACUAAUUACCAUCGAAGAUAAGGUACUGUACUAAAACGUCGAUAUUACUAUACAAAGUACGCUCUCCUGUAUUUGAACGUAGUAUAAAAAGACAGGUCAAUCAAGGUUUAAUGUUACAAACACGAUAGUCAUGUUAAGCCACCUUAUUCUGCUCAGUAUAUAUGUGGGUUACAUUCGAAAGUGUAGUCGGAAACGAGAACUAACAGAAACGUUCAGGUACCUAUAUUAAAAAUCCUAAAAGGAAAUGAGUAUCGUUCACUACUUACAAAACAGGAAGUUGGGAAAUCCACAUUUAUGUACACUACACCGAUCGUUUCAACCAUUGUGCGUGUCAUAUUGGUAAUACUAGACGUGUCCCUAUAGUGGAUCCACGUAUUUUGUAUUAGUAAGUCAAAAAUAAACCGUUCGACCUCGAUGGGCCUUGAAAGCUAAACCACGGUUCUACCUACCUAAGUUGAUUCACUGGGUGAUAGUCCAGUAUUUAGUAAAGAAAACAACUUCCUUCUCUGAGGUAAAAGACAGCUCCUGGCUUACCGUGAUUGGUUAGCCGAAUGAACCAAUCUUCUUUAACUCUUUCCCCUCGUAGAAUGUGGAUUAUCCUUCGUCACCAGAUUAGGAUUAGAGUGGGUUAUCUGCAUGUAAUGUUGUUUUAAAAGAAUGUACGACGGCGGAUAUAAAAAAGUAAUGAUUGUAUUGGAAAAAUCUAGUGGGCGUUUUUUUGGGAAAAGUCUAGUUCACACAGAACGUAAUGUAAACCAGUUGAUAUGACGUUGAAGUUUGGUAUUACGGAGACAUACAACUGACAUAAAAAACCUUAACUUAAUACAUAAGUUUCGAUAACAAGUCGUAUCUGUGGCAAAUUUUUAGUAUGUUCCCCGUGUGUUUUACAUAUACAUGAGAAGACAAACUUAGAGGGGGAUUAUUAUUUCGUGCCUAACCCAGAAGCCCAAGUGGCAGCGCCGCAAAAACGUUUCUUCAGGGACACGAAAAACUAUUAAUUGGACGUCAUGUCAAAACUGACCACUUGUUUCCCUUUUGCAAAGCACAUAACCGAACCCUGAGCCGAACCGGAAAUCCCUUUUUUAUAUCGUGCCGCCGGACAGGAGAGACUCAUGCGUGUUGUCGUGCCCAGGAGAAGGACCCCUGCCGUGCCGUCGCGGCGGUACUUAGUUCGGCGGCGCGCGCCGGCCAUAUGGAAAGGGCGAUGGGAGGUCGUGGCGCCGGCAACGGGAAAAGAAGGGGAGGAGUGGGCGGGGUUGAGGAGUGGGGGUCGGAGGAGCCGGAGUUGAGCCUGCAGAGGCUAAACCUAUCCUAAGCUGCAGCGGUGCGCGCCGGCCAGAAGGAGAGAUCGAUAGGAGGUCGUCGCGGCGGCAACGGGACAAGAAGCGGAGGAGUGGGCGGGGUUGAGGAGUGGGGGUCGGAGGAGGCGGAGCUCCUCCUGCCGAGGCUAAACCUCGAGUUCAUGACGGAGGACUGUGGAGGUAGGGGUUCAUGCAGGAGGGCAGUCUGCUCCUGCUCCACGCAUGAGACGAAAAAAGAUGACCGAUGUUCCUGUUUAAAUUCUAGAACUUAAUUUCCUAAGAUUCCAACUUAUCUUCCCCCUUGUCUUUCUUACCCAUCGUUAAACAAGCCCCUAAAAUAAAAAACACGGUUGGAGAUUAUAGGGGAAGAGACGGUACCUAAACCUACGAAACGUCUAAACCUAACCCCGCGUUGUCUCUACUCCUUCCUGUUUCGUACUUAUCGAGGUCACUCUCACUUGCCUAUACUUGUGGUGUUGGGAGAGUCCCCAACAACCGACUAGUCCUAUGGGUUAAGAGUUUGUUCGUACGACUCUACGAGUUCUAUACCUUCAAGCGGGUGUUCGAGCUGGCGGUCCACUUGUACAGUUUCCACGUCUACCUGUACUACUUCGGCACUUAACAGUGCGUUCAGUGACUCGAAGAACCCAAGCUUUUUGAUGGAUUGACGAUAAUAGGACUUAAAUCAAAAUAGAUUUGAUUCUCCUGGUGUACACGAAGAGAUUGUUUCUUAAUGAGUAAACCACAAGAAAACGUGACGACUAAAAUCAAGUUUAACCACACUCACGCUGGAAAAACAGUACAACCUAUUCCGAAAGACAUAGUGUACCUACACUGGACAUCAUACCACAUCUUUUCACUACUUUCCAUAAUCAAACUUAAUUAAACCGUCGUUAUCAAAUAGUUCAAAAACGGUUCGGUCGAUAAACAUCUUAAAGACGUCGACAUGAAACACGGUAGAGGGAGUACAUCUAUAUAUAUAUAUAUGAUCGUCUGAUCGUGCAUUUAAUAAAUGUAGUUUUGACUCUGUAUAGAUAUAUACUACCUCCGUAAAGAUCCGUAAAAAGAUAUCAUGGGCAACGUUGCGUGCCUGUAAACACGAUCAUAUACAGAUAUUUACCUAAUUGACUCGGUUUCCGCCACGGAAAAAGUAUGCUUAUAUACACAUGGUGUAGAAAGUCUAUUAGUAUAUACAAACGGCCGUCUAAUAUAUACGUAAUUUGAUGUUUUAAAUAAACACGCUGAACUAUGGUCUAUAUAUGUCUAACGUACAGAGAAUCCCGUAGAGGUUACGAUUCGCGGUCACCACCUGUGAUCCCAUCGACCUCAUAAAGGGCUAUCUAGCGGUCGAUGGAAUCAACAAGGGGCGGGGCGCAGACUACGGCGUAAUAACUACGGUUAUCUACGUAGCUCGCGAACGAAAAAGGGACCUGUACACUCAUUUAUUUGAUCCUCGGCCGGGAUGCAUAAAUCUCGGGCACUAUUCGCAGAUCGUAAGCUCUUCUUCCGUGAAUGAAAAAAAAACUACAAAAAAAUGAGAUCCGAGGACGUGUUCUCAUCGUAACAUCUACGGGAAUUCGAUAUCCGAGAGUAUCAACAAAAUGGUUAGUGUUUAUUCGUUGGUUACUCCUUUAUCAUGUUUAAAUCUCGUGUUAUGUAGUACUAGAUAACCUUUAAUGUACAAGAGAUAAAUUGUAUAGUUGGUCAGUUUCACCGGUAGAACGUAACUGGAACUUUCACACUAAAAACCGGUCUGGUCGCUUGCUCCGUUCGUCCAACUUGAGUUUAAAUUCGUAUAUCAAUUAGGUCGUACUAGGUGAUUUUUUAUUCAAUUAGCUCGUGCUUUGUCAUGUAACUCAGGCUCGAAACAACUGCCGGGAUGGCCGACCUCCAUUUGUGUAUGAAAAAGGAAAAAUAUAUAUUUUAUUUUAUGAACAUGAUUGCAAAUAAGGUACGUAAAAGUAUGUAAUAAGUUGUAAAAAACGUAAUAAGUUAAUUCAGUAAGAAAAUUAAUUAUAAUAAUUCCAUUCCAUCCUUAUAUUUUUUCUUAAUAAGAAAAAGAAAGUAACGUUGUAUCAGUUACAAAAGAGGGCAACGUUACGUGCCCAGAAAACGAUCAAAUG